UGUGCUGGGAUGGGCACUCUGCUUAAAGUUUUCUUUUUGCCACUGAGAGGACUGGAAAGCAGUAGAAUAUCUUCAUUUAUAAGAGCAAUGCUAAGACAACCUUUGGCUUAAGGAA